GGGGAUGCUCUUUGAAUCGACGGAGAAAGCCUGUUCUGAAGGGCAAGCCAGGGAAGGUGAUUACCCUGUCAAAAUUCACCAAAAAAGAAUGCCGACAAUAAUGUCGACUACUCUUUGAAUUACGCUUUCGCGUAAGGAAAAGCAUCUUCUUUUCCCUCUCUUGUCGGGGCAGGGAAGGUGAAAACGGAAGGCAAGAGGCGCUUUUUUUCUUCGCCUUAAGAAAAAAAGCAGAGAAUUAAAGGCUAUUUUUGGGAAAAGCGGUUAGCAGCGAAAAUCCCAAAAGAAAAUUUAAAGGGCUAACUGAGCUUGGAGAAAUUCAGAAGGGUUUUUUUCGGACGGGAGGUCAUUCCUCCCCAUCUCCACCU
rnacentral:tmRNA from 1 species